rnacentral:tRNA from 1 species
GUAGCUCAAUGGUUAGAGCAUUGGACUGUGGCUCCAAGGGCUGGGGGUUCAAGUCCCC